GAUGAAGAACGCAGCGAAAUGCGAUAAGUAGUGUGAAUUGCAGAAGUACCGUGAAUCAUCGAAUCUUUGAACGCAAAUUGCACUCUCUGGUAUUCCGGGGAGUAUGCCUGUUUGAGGGUCGCUUAACAAACCAUCGAUUUCGUUGCUUUUUUUUUUAAAGUGAUGUUUAUCGGAUUUGAGCCGUCUUUUUUUUUAUAUUUAAGUGGCUUAAAAUUGAUUUUUUUGGUACGAUCGAAGCGUAUUUUUAUGAUCAAUUUUUGGUUAAAGAAACGCACACGUACCGUUAUUUAUAUGAUGUAAUACGUUUGACUAUUGGAUUUAGUUCAUUCGUAUACGAUAUCUUUCAAUAUUUGACCUCAAAUCAGGUAAGAACACCCGCUGAACUUAAGCAUAUCAUAAGCGGAGGA
rnacentral:misc_RNA from 1 species